rnacentral:rRNA from 1 species
UACGGAGGGGGCUAGCGUUGUCCGGAAUCAUUGGGCGUAAAGCGCGUGUAGGCGGUCCGGUAAGUCCGCUGUGAAAGUCGGGGGCUCAACCCUCGGAUGCCGGUGGAUACUGUCGGGCUUGAGUACGGAAGAGGCGAGUGGAAUUCCUGGUGUAGCGGUGAAAUGCGCAGAUAUCAGGAGGAACACCAAUUGCGAAGGCAGCCUCCUGGAUCGAUACUGACGCUGAGGCGCGAAAGCGUGGGGAGCAAACAGG